CGAGAAGACCCUAUGGAGCUUUAGACACUAAAGCAGCCCACGUUAAGCACCCUUGAUUAAAAGACCAAACUAAUUGUAAUCUGCCCUACUGUCUUCGGUUGGGGCGACCUAGG
rnacentral:rRNA from 1 species